GAUGAACGCUGGCGGCGUGCCUAAUACAUGCAAGUCGAACGGGAAGCACGGACUUCGGUUAGUGCUUUUAGUGGCGAACGGGUGAGUAACGCGUUGGUGACCUGCCCCAAAGCGUGGGAUAACAGAUCGAAAGGUCUGCUAAUACCGCAUGAGGUUCUGAUGGUUAGAGGCAUCGGAACGAAAGGAGCAAUCCGUUUUGGGAGGGGCCUGCGUCCCAUCAGCUAGUUGGUAGGGUAAAGGCCUACCAAGGCGAAGACGGGUAGGGGGCCUGAGAGGGUGACCCCCCACACUGGCACUGAAACACGGGCCAGACACCUACGGGUGGCAGCAGUAGGGAAUAUUGCACAAUGGGCGAAAGCCUGAUGCAGCAACGCCGCGUGCGCGAAGAAGGCCUUCGGGUUGUAAAGCGCCUUUCGGGGAGAAGAGGAAGGAC
rnacentral:rRNA from 1 species